ACUACACCUGCACUGGACUGCUUUAAAUCCAUAGUAUUUAUGCUUUAAUUAAUAUGUAGUACUUAGUAUAAUGUCAUAAAUCAGUUCUAACUCAAAACAAAAGACUGUUCUAUUGCAAUGUUUACAAACUACGUAACUGAUGAGCAUUUAAAUCAUAGUUGUAUGGUAUGUUUAAAAAUUUCAGUCACAUUUAUUGCCUUCAUGUAAGUCUGCAUCAUUUCCUCUAUUUAUGGUUUGAUCAGCACAGUUUAUAAAUUUUUUUAACUGCAUUCCUUAAUGUUUUUUCUUUUUCGUUUUGGUAUGGACAUGACCUUGUUUACACUUUGCCCUACUAAUGCAAUAAAACACUUCCACCACUAGGUGGCGAUAAUACUUCAGGAAGCUCACUGGCUUCCAUACUGGCCACAGAUCAGAAGAGCAA